UUCACUGAAGUUGGUGUUUCCCAGCUCCUCGUAAGCCAUUAGGGCUUCCCUCCUAUACCUCAACGUGCUUCAGACAGAAACAGCUGAAGGCACUAAGAUUUUAAACAAGGGGCUAUUUACAUGAGGCUUUUUUGCCUACAUCUUUUCCACAGGCAGUAAUGAUGACAGGAGUCCAGGUAGGCAGGGCCCCAGGCAAUUUCGGCACCAUGUCGUCUGUCACCGCUGAAAGCACAUCUGCAUGGGAUGGUGUUUGAGAGGUGGGCGGCUCAGGAAGUGACAUUUACCUCACCAUCCUUCUCACUGCAGCUACUUCUGCAAGCAAGGAGAUGUAACAACAAACUGGGGAUGAAAACAAUCUUCAGGUCUCAGGGCUGUGCUCCUGGGGAGAGGGUGAAUCCUCUGGUGAUGCUGUCUCUGUCUGCAAAACAGAGCACCUCUCCAGCACAUGUGUCAGAUGUACCUUCUUCUGCUCAGAGAAAGCAGAACUUGGCCAAAAAACUGCUAUGAAACUGCUCAAUGAUGAUUUGCUUGGCCUGACCAACUGCUGUUUGUGUACAUGCUCUGAAACUCCCCAAACCUCCUGACAUGAUUGGCUGAAGACUGGGACAAGCUGGACAGAAAAGGAAGAAUGUGGGAAAGAGACAGAAGAAGAAGGGUGGUGGUCAUGAACAGAAGUAAAUUGUAGAUGAGGGAAAAGGCAGGGGGAAAUAGGAAGAAAAGGUAUUAAUACAGUACAACACUCAAAAAGAAGGAAAAUGAGGGGGGAAAGCAGGCAUUGGAAAAGACCUAAGAAAGGAGAAGAGAAGGGAGGUGAGGACCUGGCAAGAGAGAUAAGAAGCAUCAACAAUAGCAGUAGGUUUCCUUUUUUAUCUUUUAAAAAAACCCUGCCAAAAUAAGAUACUAUGAGCAUUAAUAACCAUAACUAUAGCUAAAUAUGUGGACAAUGUGAAGCUAAGGAAUGUGUCAAAACCAUAGCUCUGGAUGUAUGCCAGGUACCAAGGAAGCUUGCAGGAAGACAAUCUAGCAGUUUUCCUGGGGAAGGACACUCUAGGGCAACCUGUGUGGAAAGUCUGGAGGAGAUUCAAAGUCCUUUGUCUCCACUUACAAGAGGAAGAGAAGGAAGGGCUGAGCAGAUCAUUAAAAUAAUGUGUUGUCUUUUCCAGUCUCACAGCAGGUCUUAGUGCAGAUGUCAUGGUUGGAAGUAAGGCUUCUUGAUGCGUAUCGUGGGUCAGAGAAAUCCAACUUCUUUUGUAGCUUGAAUGCUCGUAUAAGUGAUAAUUUAACAAUACUUUUGCAUGAAUUUCAGCUGAAUUUAACAUUUGGAUAAUAUAUAGUAGAAACAGCACUAUAGCAGGAUUUUGGUAUAAUUAUUAGCUGGUAUACUGGGCAGAUUUGAGCAUGUGAAAUUAAUUGUCUAUUUUUCAAUUUCCCCAUCUGUAAAUAGAUAGUCGUACUAGCUGAUUUACUAAUUUACUUCAAGAUCCAUGAGAGAAAAACACGAAAUAAGAGCUAGGAGUGACUAAAAUUAUUUUUUCCCCUUGCAUACACAGAAUUAAUUUUCUUUUCUGUUUUCAAGCCUUUGACAUAUUCUACACCAUUUUCCUGUAAAUCAAAUCAAUAAAUGUAUCAUCUCACUUACUUUUCUACUUUAU
rnacentral:lncRNA from 1 species